rnacentral:rRNA from 1 species
GAUGAACGCUGGCGGCGUGCUUAACACAUGCAAGUCGAACGGAGUUUAUAUUUGGAAGUCUUCGGAUGGAAGAAUAUAAACUUAGUGGCGGACGGGUGAGUAACGCGUGGGUAACCUGCCUUAUACAGGGGGAUAACAGCUGGAAACGGCUGCUAAUACCGCAUAAGCGCACAGUGCUGCAUGGCACCGUGCGAAAAGAUUUUAUCGGUAUAAGAUGGACCCGCGUCUGAUUAGCUAGUUGGUGGGGUAACGGCCUACCAAGGCGACGAUCAGUAGCCGGCUUGAGAGAGUGAACGGCCACAUUGGGACUGAGACACGGCCCAAACUCCUACGGGAGGCAGCAGUGGGGAAUAUUGCACAAUGGGGGAAACCCUGAUGCAGCGACGCCGCGUGAGUGAAGAAGUAUUUCGGUAUGUAAAGCUCUAUCAGCAGGGACGAUAAUGACGGUACCUGACUAAGAAGCCCCGGCUAACUACGUGCCAGCCGCCGC